rnacentral:rRNA from 1 species
AUGCCAUUUGGCCUAUGCAAUGCACCGGCAGCAUUUCAAUGCUUGAUGAACACAGUGUUCGGGCACUAUGUGCGUAAGUUCAUCAUCCUAUUUUUGGAUGACAUCUUGGUAUUCAGCACUGACCUGCAGGAAUGCGAAGAACACCUCCACCUCACUCUGAAACUUCUCCGCGAACAUCAACUAUUCGCCAAGGCCAGCAAGUGUUCGUUCGCACAAACAACAUUGAGUACCUCGGGCAUGUGA